rnacentral:rRNA from 1 species
GCUCCUACGGGAGGCAGCAGUGGGGAAUAUUGCACAAUGGGGGAAACCCUGAUGCAGCGACGCCGCGUGAGUGAAGAAGUAUUUCGGUACGUAAAGCCCUAUCAGCAGGGAAGAAAAAAAGUCCUUUGGACUUUGGACGGUACCUGACCAAGAAGCCCCGGCUAACUACGUGCAGCAGCCGCGGUAAUACGUAGGGGGCAAGCGUUAUCCGGAUUUACUGGGUGUAAAGGGUGCGUAGGUGGCAGGGCAAGUCAGAUGUGAAAGCCCGGGGCCCAACCCCGGUACUGCAUUUGAAACUGUCCGGC